rnacentral:rRNA from 1 species
GACGAACCGUGCGAACGUUGUUCGGAAUCACUGGGCUUAAAGGGCGCGUAGGCGGGUUCCCAAGUCCGGGGUGAAAUCUUUCGGCUCAACCGGAAAAUAGCCCUGGAUACUGGGAGUCUCGAGCGAGGUAGGGGCAGCUGGAACUUCCGGUGGAGCGGUGAAAUGCGUUGGUAUCGGAAGGAACGCCGGUGGCGAAAGCGAGCUGCUGGACCUCCUCUGACGCUGAGGCGCGAAAGCCAGGGGAGCAAACGGG